CUUUAGUCAUCUACUCUCUUCUUCUUCCCUUUGGAUAGGGCAAUCUCUCUUCCAGUGAAGACAAUUUAUUAUAUUUAUGGUUGUUAAGAAAAGAGCUAUUCACAUGCAACCAUUUCCUUCUAUGCAAUGUGUCAACCGUGGGUCAAACUUCUCUCACGUGUCGAAGGUAGCAGAUACACAGUGCAAGAACCAAUCCGCUCGCUUCAAUUUUGCAAUAUCCUUUUUCUUUUCUUAAUAUUUUAUCUUAGUUAUCUCUAUAAAAGUCGACCCCCCUUCCCUCAAACUCACUCGCUUACUCUUGAAUUCAAGAAUCAAGAUCGUCUAUUGGAGGCGACUCUGCACCAGGUGGGUUGAGGAUUAUCCAAAGAAAUUAAAGACAAUAAUUUUUGUGUCAGAUUCAGAUAUCGGUUGGGUGAGUGUGUUCCAUGCUAUGCUUGUCAAAUAAGCAGUCUUUUGCGAAUUAACCUUUGUUUCGUUGUCUGUUCGACCUUGAUCAAUACAUAUCUUUUCUUAAACUGUAUAUCAAAAAACCCUAAUUUAGAUUUUCUUUAUUUUGUUUUCCAUAGUGCAACCAGUAUCAGGAUAGGGCAAAAAAUCCCAGAUUUUUAUUUUUUUGAACUGAAAACUUUCAUUGCCUAGAAAUCCAGAUUUGAAUAUAUCAUAUCUCUACACCAUGAACGAAUCUAAAAAAUUAGACAAUUCUUCUUUAGACCCAAAAGUAUUAGUUUUGGUAAUCUGAAGCCUACUUUAAAGAAUAAAUAAAUAAAAGGGUGCAACAUGCAAUUAAGAUUCAUGCACCUGCAUUAUACACACAAGCAUGCAUGUAUUUUAUGUUGGAAUCCAAUAUAUAUAUAGGCUACAUUAGUGACUUUCAGGUGUAUAACAAAGUAUGAGUAUAAGUAAAGAUAAGGAAAUAUUACCUAAUAAGAGUUAUUUUAAUAAUAUAUGUACAUAUAGGUUUUGAUUUCAUCAUUGCAUUAAGAAUUUUGGAUAGUGAAUUAAUGCAAUUAUAUAUAUAUACCUAUAGUUUUCCCAAUGUCAUAUAUUAGACGGAAAAACAAUCCUUCGAUCUACUGUGAAGGACUAAGAAUUAAAUUAAGAAAUAAUGUAAUGAUUUUAGAAAAAGAAAAAUAAAAUCAUAUCGCUGCUCAUUGAAAAGGCUUGUGAGAUAGGAGAUUUAUGAGAAAAGGACAUCUUAGUUAAUAUGAUACUGGCUUUGGUUUUUCAUUGUCAUGCAACCAGAAGAAAUAAGAUGCUAAGGUCGAGGAGUUUCAGAGUUUCAUAAAUAUGGUAGCUGAAGAAAUUUUGAAAAGUAGGUCUAGGAGAAAAUGCGACAAGGAUGUGGAUUCUUUUUCGACUUUGCAAGCUUGAAAAUAAAUGUUCUUGGAAGGUGCAAUCCUGAUAUACCCUAGCCAUAGUUAUAUGAAUAAGACUAUAAGGUACUAGAUAUUUUAAAUGUUCUCAGGUUUAGACUUAACUUUCUUGCAUCUCAAUUGAUUCAAACUAUAAAAAGAAAAAAAAAAAAAAUUAAAGGCACAUCUUUUCUUUUAAAUAGGGAAUAUUAAGCCCUUAAAAUUGGGGUCUUUAAUGUAUUAAUUACAGUCUGCAUUGCGUUUAAUCUACUCCAUAGUCUCUAAGUCUGUACAAGCCACAAACUCGAAGCCAUUGGAAUAUAGUAAAGGUCAAUUAGCUUUUGAUUUUGAAAUUCUUGGGUUGCAAAAUUGCAAGCUGCAACCAUAUAUUUAUUAUCAUCGACGUAACUAUGCAAAAUGGGUUAUUUAUGAUGUAAAGAAUAUUAAUCUGAAGAAAAUAUAUUUAUAUAUGGUUCUAAAAAAAAUUUUGAAAGGUCGAACACAUGACGAAUUUGAGGUAUUAAGCAAGGGACUAAUUAUUUGACAAGGUCAUUUGCAUGGAAUUCAAUACCCUAAAUUUGUUGUUGCUCCUCCAAUGCACAAGGUCAGCCACGCCACGCCGAAAAGGGAACCGAUUUGAAAAAAAAAAAAAAAAAAAA